rnacentral:misc_RNA from 1 species
UCAUUAUUAGUUCUUAACAGUUUAACUCGUAACUAAAAAAUAUGUGUGUCAUGAUACUGAUACAUUAAUAGUGCUAUUUUCGGGUUGUAAGCAAAUGUAAAUUGAUUUUUCGGGUCUCUUUUAUUUUGCAACAGGUUCAGGAUACAACUUGGUUUAGCAUUUAACUCUUUCUCAGGGUGCCUACGUCGUGUGAAUAGAAAUAUUUGCGUGGCAAGUACAUUGCAUACUUAAAAAUGGUGUAUGCAAUACGGAUUUUGAAUUUUUUCUGGCAUUCAUUAUCUGGCACUGAUCAAUACAAUAUCAAAGCAGGAUCAAGAUAUUGUGCAAGGCUUAAAUAUUUCAGUAAAGAUUGUUUGCAUAUUUGUUCAAGUUUGCGACUACCUAAAUGCUUUGUAGGUUAAUACCGGAAUUGUUGCUGUAAAUCUUGAAUUGGCUAUAAAUGUGCUUACAUAUUGAAAGAGAGCCCUGAGAACGUCUGAAUUUAACUUAAUAAUAGUAUUGCGAAAGCGAUAUGGAUCCUCAAUUUAAUUAUUGGGUUGAUCAAAAUAGAGUAUGGAUCGCCUAACAGCAUCUGUAUUAUUAAC